rnacentral:rRNA from 1 species
AGGUCGUAUCCGGAGAUGGCCUGUGCAGCGUUCUGUCCGUGGGUACUUCGAGUGGUGUAGUAACACGUGGGUGAUCCGUGCCUUGCACUUUCGGGAUAACUUGGUAAACCUGGGUCUGAUACCGGAUAGGACAGCGUGGUUUAGGUGUCAAUUGUGGGAAAGUUUUUUCGGNUGCAAGAUGAGCUCCCGGCCUAUCAGCCUUGUUGUGGGGUAAUGGCCUACCAAGGCGUCGACGGGUACCGGCCUGAGAGGGUGUACGGCCACAUUGGGACUGAGAUACGGCCCAGACUCCUACGGGAGGCAGCAUGGGGAAUAUUGCACAAUGGGCGGAAGCCUGAUGCAGCGACGCCGCUGGGGGAUGAAGGCCUUCGGGUUGUAAACUCCUUUCGACAGGGACGAAGCGUAAGUGACGGUACCUGUAUAAGAAGCACCGGCUAACUACGUGCCAGCAGCCGCGGUAAUACGUAGGGUGCGAGCGUUGUCCGGAAUUACUGGGCGUAAAGAGCUCGUAGGUGGUUUGUCGCGUCGUCUGUGAAAUUCCGGGGCUUAACUCCGGGCGUGCAGGCGAUACGGGCUGACUUGAGUGCUGUAGGGGAGACUGGAAUUCCUGGUGUAGCGGUGAAAUGCGCAGAUAUCAGGAGGAACACCGAUGGCGAAGGCAGGUCUCUGGGCCAGUAACUGACGCUGAGGAGCGAAAGCAUGGGUAGCGAACAGGAUUAGAUACCCUGGUAGUCCAUGCCGUAAACGGUGGGCGCUAGGUGUAGGGGGCUUCCACGUCUUCUGUGCCGUAGCUAACGCAUUAAGCGCCCCGCCUGGGGAGUACGCCGCAAGGCUA